rnacentral:lncRNA from 1 species
AUGCGAACGUGUCAAGGAGAGCUCAAGCAUAGGAGGAUAACGGGUCAAGAUAAGGCAAGGUGACAAAUACACUUAUUGGAGUACUCAAGGUACUACUCGGACUUCUUCUACCUUUAAGGAUGAUAAGCGGGCGUGGAUCGAGUCGAAGAGCAAGGAUUGUACGGAAAGAACGGCUACAUAGUUUGAAAUACGUAAUGCUUUGAAGCGUUAAUUUAAUGUAAAUAUUGUAAACCUCUUCCAGUAAAUGCUUAACAUUUUCGUAUUUGAGCUUUUAUGUAAGUAAUGUGUCU